rnacentral:rRNA from 1 species
AUUGAACGCUGGCGGCAGGCCUAACACAUGCAAGUCGAACGGUAACAGGAAGAAGCUUGCUUCUUUGCUGACGAGUGGCGGACGGGUGAGUAAUGUCUGGGAAACUGCCUGAUGGAGGGGGAUAACUACUGGAAACGGUAGCUAAUACCGCAUAACGUCGCAAGACCAAAGAGGGGGACCUUCGGGCCUCUUGCCAUCGGAUGUGCCCAGAUGGGAUUAGCUAGUAGGUGGGGUAACGGCUCACCUAGGCGACGAUCCCUAGCUGGUCUGAGAGGAUGACCAGCCACACGGGAACUGAGACCGGGCCAAGACCACACGGGGGGGCAGCAGGGGGGAAUUUGGAAAAAGGGGCGCAAGCCUGAAGCAGCCAGGCGGGGGGUAGGAAGAAGGCCUUGGGGUUGAAAAAGACUUUCAGGGGGGAGGAAGGGAGUAAAGUUAAAACCUUUGCUCAUUGACGUUACCCGAAGAAGAAGCACCGGCUAACCCCG